rnacentral:rRNA from 1 species
GACGAACGCUGGCGGCGUGCCUAAUACAUGCAAGUCGAACGCACAGUUUAUACCGUAGCUUGCUACACCAUAGACUGUGAGUUGCGAACGGGUGAGUAACGCGUAGGUAACCUGCCUGGUAGCGGGGGAUAACUAUUGGAAACGAUAGCUAAUACCGCAUAAUAUUGAUUAUUGCAUGAUAAUUAAUUGAAAGGUGCAAUUGCACCACUACCAGAUGGACCUGCGUUGUAUUAGCUAGUAGGUGAGGUAACGGCUCACCUAGGCGACGAUACAUAGCCGACCUGAGAGGGUGAUCGGCCACACUGGGACUGAGACACGGCCCAGACUCCUACGGGAGGCAGCAGUAGGGAAUCUUCGGCAAUGGACGAAAGUCUGACCGAGCAACGCCGCGUGAGUGAAGAAGGUUUUCGGAUCGUAAAGCUCUGUUGUAAGAGAAGAACGGGUGUGAGAGUGGAAAGUUCACACUGUGACGGUAUCUUACCAGAAAGAGACGGCUAACUACGUG